rnacentral:lncRNA from 1 species
UGGGAUCUGUAAAUUAUGUUGUACUCGAUGGUACAACUACCGAUAUUCUUUUGUUGUUUCAUAUACAUUUCAGACUAAUUCUGGAGCGUUUGGUUUUAUAAAUAUCUAAUGUUUUAGAUAUGAUAGUUAGAUUAAGCAUAGAGACUAUUCUCUCUGAAAAAACAAAUUACAUAGCUCGUCUAAAAACUAUGAGACAAAUUUAUUAA